UACGGAGGAUCCAAGCGUUAUCCGGAUUCAUUGGGUUUAAAGGGUGCGUAGGCGGAAUGAUAAGUCAGUGGUGAAAUCCUGCAGCUUAACUGCAGAACUGCCAUUGAUACUGUCAAUCUUGAGUACAUUUGAUGUGGGCGGAAUAUGUCAUGUAGCGGUGAAAUGCUUAGAUAUGGACAUAGAACACCAUAUGAGCGACGAGCUCAGAAAUGUACACUGAGGCAGCGAAAGCGUGGGGAUCAAACAGG
rnacentral:rRNA from 1 species